rnacentral:lncRNA from 1 species
CUUGCUCCUAGCGUGUUCUUUCCUCCUUAGGUCGAAUCCACGGUCUCCUUAGCCUCCUUAGGUCUAAAUUAUGUCAAAAGUAUGUCCUACUUUCUCAAAAUAGCGUUUAUAUAUAUAUAUUUAUACCAAGUAGGGUCGGGCCCAGAUGGAAAUACCUUCUCCCGCGCGAAAUAAGACACUCUGUAAAAUUUGCACUAUCGCGCCACAUGGGGCGACGCGCCACAUGGGGUGGCAGUGGAAAAGCUCAGAUUGAUGAUUUUGACAGGCUUCAGGAAAUUUCCACAGGCGCGGCGCACCACGCGCCGCGGUAGUAGGAAUUUGCGAAAAUACAAAACAUAAAAGUUGUAGCCCUUUUAAAUAGCUUUCCAACGAUAUAUUGUGGAUCCCAAACGGAGUUCUGUGAGAAACGUUAUGUGCAUUUUACUAGACAAUACACCGUAUGCUCACUCGAUUCUUCGUUUCGUUCUUAACUAUACAUUCGUCGAUCCCCGAACACGAUCCCGACUUGAUUUCUUGGGCUUUUACUUAGACUUCAAAGCUCCAAAUCACUUGAAUUCAUUUCAUAACAUGUACAUAGCUCGGAAUCACUCCUUCAAGGCAUAAAACACAUAAUUGGUGCAAAACACUAGCGAUUAAAGCUCAAGUUCAAUUAAAGUGCAGCAAAUUAGAGUGUAAUAAAUGACUAAAAUACGCAAUUAUAGCCUAUCAUCAGCACGCCACGCUUAAACCAUUGCUCGCCCUCGAGCAAUCAAACUACACUUUAUAUAGACACGGCCUUUUUUUUUAAACAAUUCUCCUAACUCAUCACACCAAGAAUAUUUAAAAUAGACUAAGCACAAAAGUGUAACAUCUUCACCUCAAGAUUUGACUUACAAGUACAACGCAUUAUUCACAACUUACUUACUUACUCUAACAUAGAGGUCACUGACAUUACCUUUCCUUCAUGAAUCAAGUGCCCUCACACAACAAAGAGAGUAGUUCCACACAAAAAAAUUUAAGAACACUUAGGAACUUCAAAUAGAAAGAAUUCACUCACUCUCAGAAACAUCAUUCAUAUGCCACAAAAGAUGCACCAUAGGCUUGCCUGUAGUGUACUACUCUACUAAUUGAGCUCAUUUAGUCUAGGAUCAAGUAGGACUUUAUUUGGUUGUAAUGUAGGCUGCGGGAUGGGUAUGAUAUAUUUGGAUAUAAGAGUGAUAAUACCUCUCUAAGUACUUUAAUACAUAUACUUUAACAUUCAAGCCCAUGCUUAUGUCAAACCAUGACUCCACCUUCACAUCAAUAUACAUCAACUCCCAAUUUAUUUAAGUACAAUUACAUCAAGAGUUACCACAAUCAAAGAAUAUUUUUCACAGCAAUACAUCUAUUUUUUCUUUCUUUUUCUUUUUCUUUUUUAAUUCAGGUGGCUCUUACUUAUUCAAAACCGUGCACCUUUCUCCUUAUUUCAUUAGUUCACUCAAAAGCCAAACUAAUCACCCCACACUUUAACUUUUACAAAGUUCAUAACUAUUCAAGUGCUCAUGAGAGGUUAAAAUGUUCAAAUAGAUGGUUAAUUCAAACAAUUAGAUAAGGCUUGUAAUGUGGUUGCCAAAGAAACAUGAUUAUAGGCUCAAAGGGGUUAACUACGAUAUAUAACAAUUAGGCGGGUAAAAUAUACAUAUCUGACUCAACAAAGAAAUGCAUAUAUCACUUCCAAGACUGAACAAAGCUACUAUUUCGCUUUGCAAACACAUGAGGCAAGUUCUAGACAUCAAAUACAAUGCACUGAAUACAUACAAACCUCACACAGAUAUGGCACAUAACUCAUAUUAUCACAACACUCCAGUUAAAACAAUUAAGCAAAUUUAAGAAUCUACGAUUUAAGGUACUUCUACAAGAGUCAAAAACAGAGCCUAAGCGUCACAACUAAAGUACUCACUAUUCUCAAGGCAUGACAAAGUCAAGAGAUAUCACUGUAAUUCAAUUCAUCUCACACUAGCUCCUACUCCUAAAAGAUAAAACUAACUACACCCAGUUCAAAUAAAACCCUUGAAAAAGAAUCGCGGCACAAAGGAAAACCAAGGAAAAAUUACUACACUACCUACAAAAAAAAUCUCUUCUUUCUUUAGACUUAAAUCCCUCGAGAAAAUUGUCUAGGAUAUCCAUUGUCAAGAAAAGUCCAAUCUUUUUUUUGUUUUUCUAAAAAAAUAAAAAAUAUUCAAUUAAACUAACACACCUAAAAUAGCAUAGAAAUUCACGCAGACAAUCUCCUCACCCCACACUUAAAAUUGUGCUUUGUCCCCAAUGCACACCAUAACUAAUAAGAGGGUAAAAAAAACUCCCUGGUAGGCCAAAGGCCGAAGCACUAGCAGCUCAUGGGAUACUCAGACUUCUCCCAGGCUUAGUCCUUCGUGCGGGUACCUCACACUUAGUUCCAACCAUCUGGUUUGUUGUUGCAUCCUUCCAAUAGCUUUGCAACUUAUGCUCCUAGAAAAUCAAAAAUCGACACCACAAAAAUAAUAUAAUUAAAAAAAUAAAAGAAAGCAAUAAAGCUGGGUUGCCUACCAGCAAGCGCUUGAUUUAAUGUCGCGGCACGACGCAAAUCACUUUUUGCCUCCACUUUGAACUCAUGAAUUGAACCCCUAGUUUUGAUUCUGCUCUACGAUCAUGCUCCUGGGGUGGUGGAACGAAUUUGACUGGCCCCAUAAAACAAUGUAGUAUUCUGCACUUCUUGGCCUUUAGAUGAGAUGUGUAUUCCCGACUUUCUGGCAAGAAGCAUUCCAGAAUGUAGGCAUCUUGUUCCUUACUCCUUGAAUCCUCAAGUGGCUCGGACAAUUCUAUUUCCAGAUCAUCAUCCAAACACAAUGUGGAAAAAUACUUAGAGUGUGGACAAUACGCUCAACUACAUGAUCAUUGGACUGUCUUCAUUCUCAACACUAAUGACAAUAGAGUCAACUAAAUAUGUGUCCUCAAUAUCCUUGGUUGACUCUAGUAUCUCUUCUACGAGAUCGGCAUCCUCAAAAUCUAGUUCGAUUGAUUGUUGGUGUUCUACUCUGGCCUUCUCCUGUAGCUCAUCCUCGUAUUUUUUUAAAUCCUCCAUUAUAAUGGCAAUUUCUGCAGCCAAUUCAUACUCAUAUUGGCUACUAUCCACAAUGUCAACUUGUUGUGCUUUACAAGGUUCAAUUAAUUUAUUCGCUUGAGCCUCCAAGUUGUGAAUAGUUGCCCCUUGCCUUUGUACCCGCAGUUGUAUCUCAUCAUAUUAUUCCAUAAGACACUUUAGCAUAUCCUCGAUCUCUUUCAGGUCCUCAUACCUGGGUUUUUUGUUCCUAUUAACUUCAUAAGAAAAAGAAAAACUAUCAAAGUAAGGGGUUGGGGGAAGAUAAGAAAUAUAAGCACAACCAUAAAAGUAACCAUCUUGACCACCACACAUAUCACACACAUUCAAAACAUAAGAUUGAGUUAGUGCACAUAACUCGCCAAGGGUGGUUUUCAUCACAAUAUGCAUAAGGAGGAUUAAAAGUAGAAUUACCAACAUCAAAACUCUCAUAAUUCCAUGAUCCCAUGUUUUUAAAAUCAACAAGUAAAACCNNNNNNNNNNNNNNNNNNNNNNCCAAAAAAAUAAAUUAAAAUCAAAUACAAAAAUAAAAAUAAAAGUUCAAACUUGAAACCUAGAAAUAAGUACACCUACAACUAUAUCGUUAGUUCCCCGGCAACGGUGCCAAAAUUUAAUCACGCCCAAUUAUGCCUUAUAAAAAGGACUAAGCGGUCAUUGCAAAUAUAAUCCGGUUUACAAGUCCGGAGUUGAAUCCUACAAAGAACUACGAUUUAGCUACAGUUGUUCACUAUCACCAAGAAGACAAGCAUGAACAAUUCCUAACUUAUAGAUAUUAGAUUUUUGUCUUUAACUAAUAACUAACAAAUUAAAAUAGUAAAUUAACGCUAAAGAUACUACAGGUUGGAGAAAAGAUUAAGGAGGUCUAGAGUUAUGAUUUUCCCAGUUGUCGGAAUCAUUCCCACUAUGUCUUCUAUAAUUUCGUCUAAGUAUUCUCUACCGAUCAUGAGCGCUCUGCGUGUUGUAAUUCUCUCUUAAGUAAUUACGACAAUUUACUAGACAUACUCUCCCGAGUUACGCUAGCUGGCUUUAAUUACAACUCACUUAGAUUGCACCAAAGGUUUCGUUAUCCCUAAUCCCACCUUAUAACCCUUGGUUAUUGAUUCCUCACAUAUGUCGGGAGUGAUGUUGUUCAACAACUACCUAAAUAUGCACUCUCUCCCAAGUAAUACAUACUAAAUAGGCACAACUAAUUGAGGUCUCUUCAACCAACCACAAUAAUAACAUAGUUGAACAAAUAAAGAAAAAGCGACAUCAAAUCUAUAUUAAUGUAAAGGGAAAAUCAUCCUCCAAUAGGUUCCAUCACGACCCUAGAUAACAAAUUAGCUAUUCAUAAUAGUGUGCAUAAUUACAAUACUAGAAUUCAUAACCAAUAAUGGAAAUAGGAAGAAGGAAGUGAAAACUCGUAGAAGAAUUCUUCGCCUUUCUCCUAGCGUGUUCUUUCCUCCUUAGGUUGAAUCCCCGAUCUCCUUAGCCUCCUUAGGUCUAAAUUAUGUCAAAAGUAUGUCCUACUUUCUCAAAAUAGCAUUUUUACAUGUAUUUAUACCAAAUAGGGUCGGGCCUAGAGGAAAAUACCUUCUCCCGUGCGAAAUAGGACACUCACUCUAUAAAAUUUGAACUACCGCACCGCACGGGGCGACGCGCCAUGUGGGGAGGUAGUGGAAAAGCUCAGAUUGAUGAUUUUGACAGGCUACAGAAAAUUUCCACAAGUGCGGUGCAAAGCGCGCCUCACCACGUGCCGCGGUAGUGGGAAUUUGCAAAAAUGCAAAACACGAAAGUUGUAUCCCUUUCAAAUAGAUUUCCAAUGAUAUUUUGUGUAGUCCAAACGGAGUUUUGAGAAAAAUGUUAUGUGUAUUUUACUAGACAAUGCACCGUAUGCCUGCUCGAUUCUUCGUUUCGUUCUUAACUAUCAUUCGUCGAUCCCUGAACACGAUCCCGGCUUGAUUCCUUGGGCUUUUACUCAGACUUCAAAGCUCUAAAAUCACUUGAAUUCAUUCCAUAACAUCUACAUAGCUCGAAAUCACUCCUUCAAGGCAUAAAAGACAUAAUUAGUGCAAAACACUAGCGAUUAAAGCUCAAAUUCAAUUAAAGUGCAGU